rnacentral:rRNA from 1 species
GACGAACGCUGGCGGCGUGCCUAAUACAUGCAAGUCGAGCGCUUUUGCUUUGUACUUAUCUCAAUUCGCUGAGCAACGAACAGUUGAGUACCGCGUGGUGAAUCUGCCUUUGAGCGGGGGACAACGGUUGGAAACGAAUGCUAAUACCGCCUAAAACCUUUAAACUCCAUUUUUAAGAUUGAAAAAAGAAAUUACAUCCCUUAGAGUUGAUCACGCGUUGUAUUAGCUAGUUGGUGAGGUAAAGGCCCACCAAGGCGGUGAUACAUAGCCGACCUGAGAGGGUGAUCGGCCACAUUGGGACUGAGACACGGCCCAGACUCCUACGGGAGGCAGCAGUAGGGAAUCUUCGGCAAUGGACGCAAGUCUGACCGAGCAACGCCGCGUGAGUGAAGAAGGUUUUCGGAUCGUAAAACUCUGUUGGUAGAGAAGAACGAGGGUGAGAGUGGAAAGCUCAUCAAGUGACGGUAACUACCCAGAAAGCGACGGCUAACUACGUG